UACGUAGGGUGCGAGCGUUGUCCGGAAUUAUUGGCGUAAAGAGCUCGUAGGCGGUGUGUCGCGUCGGCCGUGAAAACCUGGGCUCAACUCUGGCGUGCGGUCGAUACGGGCAUCACUUGAGUUCGCAGGGGAGACUGAAUUCUGGUGUAGCGUGAAAUGCGCAGAUAUCAGGAGAACACGUGCGAAGGCGGGGUCUCUGGGGC
rnacentral:rRNA from 1 species